AAACCUCCGCAAUGUGAGCAAUCGCGACGGGGGGACCCCAAGUGCCAUUCUUAACGGGAUGGCUUUUCUUGAGUGUAAAAAGCUCUUGGAAUAAGAGCUGGGCAAGACCGGUGCCAGCCGCCGCGGUAACACCGGCAGCUCUAGUGGUAGCCAUUUUUAUUGGGCCUAAAGCGUUCGUAGCCGGUUUAAUAAGUCUCUGGUGAAAUCCUACAGCUUAACUGUGGGAAUUGCUGGAGAUACUAUUAGACUUGAGGUCGGGAGAGGUUAGAGGUACUCCCAGGGUAGGGGUGAAAUCCUGUAAUCCAA
rnacentral:rRNA from 1 species